GACGAACGCUGGCGGCGUGCUUAACACAUGCAAGUCGAACGGAAAGGCCCUGCUUUUGUGGUGUGCUCGAGUGGCGAACGGGUGAGUAACACGUGAGUAACCUGCCCUUUACUUUGGGAUAACUUCAGGAAACUGGGGCUAAUACCCGAUAGGAGCUCCUGCUGCAUGGUGUGGGAUGGAAAAUUUCGGCGGUUGGGGAUGGACUCGCGGCUUAUCAGCUUGUUGGUGGGGUAGUGGCUUACCAAGGGUUUGACGGGUAGCCGGCCUGGGAGGGUGACCGGGCACAUUGGGACUGAGAUACGGAGCAGACGCGUACGGGAGGCAGUAGUGGGGAAUAUUGCACAGUGGGCGGAAGCCUGAGGCAGAGACGCCGGGUGCGGGAUGACGGGCUUCGAGGUGUAAACAGCUUUCGCCUGUGACGAAGCGUGAGUGACGGUAAUGGGUAAAGAAGCACCGGCUAACUACGUG
rnacentral:rRNA from 1 species